UUUCUUCUUCUGUUUCCAAUAUUGCAGCACCAUAUAUUAGUUGAAGGAUAUACAAACAGGGGAAAUUGUUGCUGCAAAAGAGAUAUUAAUAAGUUCUUUAUCAAAGGAGGAAGUAAACGAUGUAAUAGGUGAAAUUACAAGUUUAACAAGACUUGAUCAUAAAAACGUGAUUCCUUUGAAGGAGAUUGCAACUUCUUCAGGUUCCAUUUGAAUUUUCACAUUUUCCUUUUCUUCUUUGCUUAACUAGUGGCUCUGAUCCUACAUACAUGUUAUCGAGACUAACAAAUUGUUCUUCAGAUUUUCAUAGAGAAAUUGACAAGGACGAUCAAGGAAAUCCAGGUAUUUACCAAUUUUCCUUGUCAGUGCUAUAUGAAACAACUAUUGGAUGGGCUCUGUUAUUGCCAUGCUAAUCAAGUGCUUCAUUGUGACAUCAAAUACUU